AGGCCUACCACCUCUUAUUUACC
rnacentral:tRNA from 1 species